CGUUCGAGACUUCUUGCUCUUUAUUGUCUCUGUAUUCUUGAUGCCUAAUACGUCUGUAAAUGUUGCUCGCGAAGUGGAGGAUCCUAUAAAGGCCAUAAAUGACAUUGCAGCGGUUUGUCGUGUUAACUGGGCAUCACUGUCGUACAAUUAUCUAUGGAAGGCCCUUCGACGGCAUCAGAAAAACAAAGGCAUGUUUGUCGGAGGAUGCAUAUAUUUUUUACAGUUAUUUUACUGUCAUCACGUUGUUUGGAAGGAAUGAUAUGUUGAUAGAUCCCUCUGCCCUUUAAAUGUGUGGUCUGACGAUGAUUUCAAGGCUAUACUGGAUUGGGUACAGGAGCAUGGGGGGUUUGAAUCAAAUAAAAUUCCAAUGAUAGAGUUGCAGGACGGUGCUGCAGCAUCGAAGAUGCCUGCCACGCUCGCCUCUUUGUGUGAUAAGGUUGAAUCGAUUGAGAACAAAAUGAUUGAAAAGGAAAUAGAAAUGGUAAAAUUUCAUGAGGAUUUGAAGUUGCAAAUGGCCAAGGAAUUCAAACGAUUACGUAAGAGUUUGAGCGGCGAAAUCAGUUCAAGGGUGCGUGGUGGUGGUGUUCCCAAGUAUAGUAAGGGAGAGGAGCCUCGGGAUUCAGCCAUAUUAAUUAAUGACCCUAUCCUAGCAAACAUGCAAAUGGAUGAGAAUAGGAUAUUGGAGAAGCUUUCGAUUAGGAAUGACCCAAUGUUGUUGGAGUGCGGUAUAGGAUUUCGGAAUGAACCUUCUUAUGGAAACUACUCACC